GGGUUGUGAGGUUAAGCGACUAAGCGUACACGGUGGAUGCCCUGGCAGUCAGAGGCGAUGAAGGGCGUGCUAAUCUGCGAUAAGCGCCGGUAAGGUGAUAUGAACCGUUAUAACCGGCGAUACCCGAAUGGGGAAACCCAGUGUGACUCGUCACACUAUCAUUAACUGAAUCCAUAGGUUAAUGAGGCGAACCGGGGGAACUGAAACAUCUAAGUACCCCGAGGAAAAGAAAUCAACCGAGAUUCCCCCAGUAGCGGCGAGCGAACGGGGAGGAGCCCAGAGUCUGAAUCAGCAUGUGUGUUAGUGGAAGCGUCUGGAAAGGCGCGCGAUACAGGGUGACAGCCCCGUACACAAAAGCGCGUGUGCUGUGAGCUCGAUGAGUAGGGCGGGACACGUGGUAUCCUGUCUGAAUAUGGGGGGACCAUCCUCCAAGGCUAAAUACUCCUGACUGACCGAUAGUGAACCAGUACCGUGAGGGAAAGGCGAAAAGAACCCCGGCGAGGGGAGUGAAAAAGAACCUGAAACCGUGUACGUACAAGCAGUGGGAGCACCCUUUGGGGGGUGACUGCGUACCUUUUGUAUAAUGGGUCAGCGACUUAUAUUCUGUAGCAAGGUUAACCGAAUAGGGGAGCCGGAGGGAAACCGAGUCUUAAC
rnacentral:rRNA from 1 species